rnacentral:rRNA from 1 species
CCAAUAGCGUAUAUUAAAGUUGUUGCAGUUAAAAAGCUCGUAGUUGAAUUUCGGGAUCAAUAUUUCGGUCAUGCCGUUGGUAUGCACUGUUAUCAUUGAUUUCUCACCUUCUAAAGAACCGUAAUGCCAUUAAUUUGGUGUUACGGGGAAUUAGGACUGUUACAUUGAAAAAAUUAGAGUGUUUAAAGCAGGCUCACGCUUGAAUACAUUAGCAUGGAAUAAUGAAAUAGGACAUCCGAUUCUAUUUUGUUGGUUUCUAGGAUCGAUGUAAUGAUUAAUAGGGAUAGUUGGGGGCAUUAGUAUUCAAUUGUCAGAGGUGAAAUUCUUGGAUUUAUUGAAGACUAACUACUGCGAAAGCAUUUGCCAAGGAUGUUUUCAUUAAUCAAGAACGAAAGUUAGGGGAUCGAAGACGAUCAGAUACCGUCGUAGUCUUAACCAUAAACUAUGCCGACUAGGGAUCGGAUGAUGUUAAUUUUUUAAUGACUCAUUCGGCGCCUUACG